rnacentral:tRNA from 1 species
GCCAGUGUGGCAUAGUGGUUUGAGUGUUGGACUGUGACUCUGGAAAUCAGGGUUUGAUUCCCUGCUUGACC